AACAGAUCAACCAUACAUCAAAUUUUGAAGAACAAACCAACCAUUAUCCAGACCAAAGGAUGUGUUCAUCAAGAGACGAUUUUUAACAGAAGGAUUUUUGUCAAUUGUUAGAAACAUGAGACAUCUCAAUUAUUUUUCAAAGCUGAUGAUAGCAUUCAUCAAAAACGUGAGUGAAAACUUUUUGAACAAUAUGCUAAUAGAUGAUACACAC
rnacentral:lncRNA from 1 species